rnacentral:lncRNA from 7 species
CUACUUAUUUAUUAGAGAGCCUGUGCUGACAUGUGGAACUACGGAGGUUAAUGCUAGAAUGGAGAUCCCAAUACUACUGAAAAGUGAUGAGUUACAGGAAACUAAGACUGGAGUAUGAUAACAGCAUAACUGGUGCAUGUGGUCCUGGGCUGUAUGCCAAAACAAAGAGGAGACUGCGGGCAGGGGAAAGUAGGAAUAGCUGGAACGAAAAAGGUCAUGUUCUCAGAGCACCUUCUAUUGUAAUGCUGCUGUGCUUCAGCCACCCUCAGCUGUCCUUCAAGAGCCUCCUCAAGGCCCUUCUCUGCUGCACUGCCCACAAAUCACUGUCACCUGCUAGUCUUGAAGCUGGAGGCCAUCUGUGACCAUAGUGACUGCUGAUUUAUGGAAGCACACCCAUCUUCGUUGUUAUUCAUGCCACCUUUUUCACACAUUUUUCCCUUACUCCCUGGAUGUCUUGUCUUGGGAACAUGGAGUGCAAGGAGUAUGGGGCGGGAACUGCCUAAAGCAAUGAAUAUGAGGUACAAAAUAGAUGAAGUAGGGCUUUGUGAAAGAUAUAUUGAGAAAUAAUAGUAUGUUUGGAGUAGAUACUUGUCAAAACAAGAUUGUAUCAAAUCUAAUUAUAGAGGAGAGCAUAUCUACCUAGGUAUGUAGGCUAGAAUCACUGAUCAAGCUAAAGACUGGAAGGACCAUGGAGACCUCUCUCGCUACCAUCAAAGCUUGACAAGCCUCCAUCUGACUGAGGGUAGCCUUGUGGCUUUGAUGUAUUUUCUUGUCUUUCAUAGCUCUCAGGGUGCAGUUGGCUCCCAGGGCUGAGCACAGCUUUGACGUUUUUGGGAUGUGGCUCAACCCCCAGUGCAGUGGCAGAGAACAGGGCCUGGUGUGAAAGAGAUUUUUUCUGGCAGACCGGUUCUGUGCCUCCUCUGACUGGAGAAUUCUCUUGAAGCAAGUUGGAAAACCUUUAUGGCUACCAUGUGUCUCUGGAAAGAAGCUAAGCAUUUACCCUUUUAUAAGCUGUAUAAGAGCAAGCUAGGAAUGUAUGUAUGUGGUAGUUCAAACGUUUUUGAGAAACAUGCUAUAUUCAACUACAGGCGCCCAAGCCUGCUGCUGCUGAAGCAAUAGUAGUGGGCUGACAUAGUCAGGACAAAAUUGCCAAGCUGUUAAGCAAGGGUUAUUUAUUUUUCAUAGCCGCAUAUGACAUGUUGUCUCUGUCCUUCCUUCGUACACUUUUACAUACCAUAGCAGCAAUCUGAGAUGACUUUGGAGGAAACUGGUUUAUAUAAUCACUGAUUUGCACUGCAGAAUCAACCUAGCCUUUUUGAUUUAUUUCCCAAAGCUCUCCUGCAUGGUUUCUGUCUUGAUUUUCUUGUCAACAUGAUUUAGUGCAUGAUUUAGUCUCUGGGGAUGCCUUGUGCAUUAUGAGAAACUGGUGUUACUGUUGUCCUAGCAGACUCAAGCAAAGGGCUGCUUUUUUGUGAAACUGU